rnacentral:lncRNA from 1 species
CUUUCUCCUGUGAUCAUCGGCAUGAUAGGAGGCGAGUGAGGAACUCAGUGUCUUCUGACACAGGCAUCUCACAACACCAGUGCAGCCGGACCGUUGUCUGGUAGGUCUCUGUGCACCCAGGAGGACCUGGGCCUGCGAGAAGUCUGGGGCCCACUGCUGGGUAUGCUCGUUUCUUGAGCAUCCGAGUCACCUUUACAGUCUGCGAUGAUUGACGAGGUCAAACAGGACUCACUUGCAUUGCCGGGUCUCUGUGGCGACAGGGAGGACUUGGAGAUCAAAGAAACUCUAGUAACGUGGAAAUUCAUGCUCCGAGUAGUGACAAGCCAGUGACUUUUUCUAUAGAAAGGGUACAAGACUCCAAUUUGAAAAUCUCAAGCAGCUUUAUAUUCAAGCAAGUUCAAUCCAAUCUCUUCCUGACUCACUGUCUCAUCAACAUGCAAAGCUCUCGAAGAGAAAUCAUCUCUUACUUGCCUGAGGGAGUUCUGGCAGACGUUUUGAAUGUGGAUGUGGAAGUUCUUUCCUCGUCUCCAUCCUGUCAAGAGCCGUGGAGCAAACAGCAGGAUGAGGAAGACAUGGAAGACAAAACUGAUAACGCACGUCACCUCGCUGCAGCGGGAGACAGAAUGUAACUUCAAUUCAGCCUCUUUGGGGUUUGGGUUCUGACCAAGUAAAUCGGGAAUGUUGUUAACAUAUCAAGCCAGCCUUUAUUGUUUGUCUUAACCCAAGAAAACACAAAAUGACACUUACUUUGUUGCUCAUUUAGGUUUUAACUUGUUGAUGUCCUCCCCACAAAAAUCAAACUUGAAAAUGCCUGGCAGGGACCCCUGAGAUCUAGGGUUUGAAAUGCUCUUUUGACAAGUUAAGAGGUUAAAAAGAAUUCAGGAACAUACUGUAGAGUCUCAUGGGGGAUUUUAGAAAAAAAAUAUGCAAAGCAUCUUUAAAUAUGUGGAAAAUCCUUAGGAGUGAAAUUGCACUGAAGUCAGAUUGUUUUCCUAUUGAGGUUGCAUUGCUCGGCUGCAAGAGGUGGGGUGGGCACAUCGUGGGGGGAGAGCAGAAGUGCCUGUUAGGGUGCUGCCAGACCUCAGUGUGGAAUUCUGCUUCUCACAGUUGGCCAUAAUCAAUCAAUCAGACUCUCUCUUUCUCCUCCCUUCUCCCUCUCCCUUUCUUUCCGUGGUUGAAGGGCCCCUCUUAAAUCGCUCUUGAGCCUGCAUUCUAAUUUGCUCUCUCUCCCACGUGAAAUCCACUUCUCCCAGCUAAGCUGCGUUUUGCAGCUUUAUGACGGUACUGAAAGCACUUUAUUUCCACUUAAAGAGCUGCCUGUUCUAUUUACCAUCACUCUCGGGGUACUUAACCUCAUUUAAAAGGCUAACUUUUCUCCUGCAUUAUAAAGUUGCUCGGGAGUCUCAAAGCCUCUUUCUCUGCCCAGCCCGCAGCCAGCCCUCUCCAGCCACCCCAGCCUCGCCCUCACCCCUCCCAGCCUCUGUUCCAAGGCCCAGGCGCGCCCGCGUGGGGCACGUGUCCCUGAACGCCCCGCCUCCGGCCAGCCUGACCGCUCAGUGCUCGGUGUCACUUCUGGCACGUCUCCACAUUCCUCAAAUCCCAGAGAGGACCUCGAAAUAGGAUAGAAAACAAGAAUUUAAAUAAGAAGCAACAGGGCUGCCCGCUCUGGCUGGGGAGGGCCUCGGCCCCCGCCUGCACCUGCGGCCCUUGUUUCUUGCGCGGUUUUGCAACGUCAGAGCCGUCCACACUCGCAGGCCAUUUUUAGCGGCCUGUUGGAAAGGGAAGACGAUGAAGUCGGGCUAAGCAGGGCAACGCCUUGCCCUCUGAGAGGCGUGGAGGGCCCUUGGGAAGCUCAGAGAGCUACGAUAAAAUGGCUAAACGACCUUCCUCUCCUCCAAGUCACCAAAUACGAGGCAGGAGAGGUGCCCGAUGAGCUCCCAGUCAUGUGGUUCAGGGCGGGCUCUGGAAGACUCACAGAGGAGACUCCUCCGAGAAACCAAGAAGGUUUCUGUCCAAGUCGGGAUCUGCUCUGCUCAGGAUGCUCCUCCAACACACACAGUGAAAAACUGAGCACCUAGAGAGCAACACCAAAAACCCAUGGCCAAUAAUGGAGAGCCAAAUCAGGAGAGCAUUCAGCAAAGCAAUUCUUGCUGUAGAAGGAACAGCACAAAAAGCUGGAAGGAAACUGAGGCAUGCGUGAAAGAUAACUUGUCAGUGUUUGCAGUCUACUGAGAUCCCCGCUGCAAGAAAAGGCAGGAUUUCCACUUGCUUCUUGGCCCGCCUCUGUUGUCCAGAAUCCAGGACAGGUGACAAGAGAAGCAGAUGUGAUCUGCACAAGCUGGCUCAGCUGGGUUGGGAGUUGCUCUUCCUGGACAGGCCGGGAAGGGUGCUGGAGGGGAGGGAGGAGGAGAGAGGUUUUAGGGGAGGGGUGCUGAGCAGUCAGGGACCUGUAAGGUCACAUUUCUUUCAGGUAUUCUUUCUAGGUGUACUGAAUGGGAACAUUGUCUGUCAUCCCUAGACUGCAUUAAAGACCUAAACUGCUUCCAUUUAUCUUUGGUUGUUGGACUGAAGUUUCUAAUGUACCUGGUGACACAGAGCACAGCUCUGUGUUUUUAUGGGUUGCUUAGUUCAAGAUCUGGAUGAAAGAAGCCUGAACCCAUUUUUGUGCAAAAGCCUAAGGGUGUACAGCAGGGAUGCUCAAACUUUUGUUUUUAUAAGAACCCACUUUUAUAUUAAGUAGGUUUUCUGUGUGUGAGAAGAAAUGCUUGAACAUGGAAAUGAAAAGUUCUAACUGUAGGAUGGAGUUUACA